UAGUUCAGUUGGUUAGAAUACAUGCCUGUCACGCAUGGGGUCGCGGGUUCGAGUCCCGU
rnacentral:tRNA from 1 species